AAGCAUCUCUGUCCAUUCAAAGUGAAAGGUGGUAAAAGCUAUUUCUUUUGCAUCUUCAGACCUCAAAUCUGGAACAAGGUUUGGAAAGCACCUCUAAACAAUUCAUAUCACUCUUCUUUAAGUUGGUUUUAUUUCGAGCAUAUCAAGUUUCUCCACAGGUGAGUCACUGGGAGGCAAGGUCCAUAGGGAGGCAAGAUCACAGCUGGACUAGGGACUUGCCUCGAGGACAGUCUUUACGUAUUUAAUUUGGAAUUUAAAAGUUAUAUAUUACCGAAUAGCCAGACCCAGAUUUGUUUGUUUUACUCUCUUAGGACUAUAUAGAAGUUACAUAGACAUGAGGUACAGUAUAAGUAAGAAUUUAACAUUAUUGUUUUGUUUUUGUAAUCUAUUAAUUGAGAAAGUGGUUCAGAAGUGUAAAUGGAAUGCCUUUUAAAGGAGACUUUUUUAUGUAUAGAAUAUUUAGGAUGAUUAAAAAUAAACUAAUUGGUGUAAAUAAAACAAAUUUAAAACUUGAAAAUUUCAAAGAGUGAAAAAAAUUUUGAGUAGGUACAAGUGCUUUAAAUUAUCAAAAGUGAUAAAUGGGACUUAUCUAGUUUCUUUUUUAUAAGGUAGAUAAAUAAAAAUGAAUGUUAACUUAGCAAGAUAUGCUUCUAAUUUUUUUUUCAUUUACAUCAAUUAAAGUAUGUCAGACUUACUAAAAAAAAGAGCCUUUGGAUAUGUCUGCUACAAGUAUCUGAAAGUUAAAAAAAUCUUACAUUUGAAAUCUGAAGCAUAAUAGUGUGGAGUGGGUAUUAGUAUCAUAAAAAAGUUGUUUAGGGGAAUUGAAGUGGUUCAUUGUAACCAUUUUUAUUUCAUCUCAGCUUUACCUAAUAAAAUUUAUUGUCAUUGAUAAAUUUUACUUUUUCACAGAAAGGAAAAGUGUUUUGUUUGAUCAGUGUUCAAUAUAUAUAGAUUUAAAAAUAAGAAAAUUGGAGUUUCCGUCGUGGCUCAGUGGUUAACGAAUCCGACUAGGAACCAUGAGGUUGCGGGUUCGGUUCCUGCCCUUGCUCGGUGGGUUAAUGAUCCGGCGUUGCCGUGAGCUGUGGUGUAGGUUGCGGACUUGGCUCGGAUCCCACGUUGCUGUGGCUCUGGCGUAGGCCGGUGGCUCCGAUUCGACCCCUAACCUGGGAACCUCCAUAUGCCACAGGAGUGGCCCUAG
rnacentral:lncRNA from 1 species